AAAAUCCUAUCAGGUAAUACCUAGCCAGUAGCCUGUACCUAGUUCCUUGGAGCCGAAGUGGUAACACUAGGCUUAAGCGUAGGGCGGGGAGCAAACGAGCCGAAAAUGAAUGCACUGAAGCUAUUGAGCCACGAAAUAAUUAUUAAACGAAGAGGUCGAUACUAUCUUAUUGGUAGCAGACAACAUCAUAUAAAUCGGUAAGGCGAGAUUUAUAUGACUCUUCCGGGGUCUGAGGGCU
rnacentral:ncRNA from 1 species